ACUACAUCCGGCAGCGGGGUGGCCCCUAGCUCCUGCUGCCCCCCCGCCCUUUCUCCCCGCCCGCCCCCGGAGCUCAGCCGAUUUCUGAGGCUCCAACUCUACCCACUCCCUCCCCGGGCCGCCGCCGCCGCGCCUUCCCCCAUUCUUACUCCCUCGAGGAGAGCCACAGGUUGCAAAUCCAACCAACCUCGCAAUCUAUUUUUGCAAAAUCACUCACAAAGAUCUCCCUUUCGCGCCCGCGCCCGCUCCUCCCGCGCCGGGUCCCCUCAGCCACGGCCACAAAGUGCCCUUCUCUCCUCCUGAGUCUUGCACAUAAGGAACGCGGGCUGGGGCUCUGUUCGUCUUUCUCCUCGCCCAAGAUACACAUAGAAAACUUGGAGCCAAAGCAUUUGGCAAGAGCGGAAAAAAAAAGAAUUAAAAGGUAAAAUAAUGAUCAUGAGCAGCGGCGGCGGCAGCGGCACCAGCGGCAACAGCGGCGGCGGCGGCAGUAGCAGCAGCAGCGGCGGCAGCAACAGCAAUAAUCACCUGGUGUCCGG
rnacentral:lncRNA from 1 species